CCUACGGGUGGCUGCAGUGAGGAAUAUUGGUCCAUGGGCGCUAGCCUGAACCAGCCAAGUAGCGUGAAGGAUGACUGCCCUAUGGGUUGUAAACUUCUUUUAUAUGGGAAUCAAGUGCAGUAUGUAUACUGCUUUGCAUGUACCGUGCGAAUAAGGGCCGGCUAAUUCCGUACCAGCAGCCGCGGUAAUACGGGAGGCCCGAGCGUUAUCCGGAUUCAUUGGGCUUAAAGGGAGCGUAGGCGGGCGUUCAAGUCAGCUGUAAAAUCGCGCGGCUCAACCGCGCCCCGCAGUUGAAACUGGACGCCUUGAGGUCACAACAGGCAGGCGGAAUUCGUGGUGGAGCGGUGAAAGGCAUAGAUAUCACGAGGAACCCCGAUUGCGAAGGCAGCCUGCCGGGGUGCGACUGACGCUGAGGCUCGAAGGUGCGGGUAUCAAACAGGAGUAGAUACCCGGGUAGUC
rnacentral:rRNA from 1 species